UCCUCCGCAGCCAAGGCUGCUCCAUUCCAUUGCUUCUUUUCACCGCUUUAUCUGCACUUUUGUCUUGACCCGGCGCCUGCAAUAAUAAAAAUAAGAAACAAAUAAAUAACCAUACGCAUGGAUAUUUUAUUUUCAAGAUAAGGCUGCAGCUUCUCUGAGCAUUUGCUCAUGCUGAAUGAUUUCUUUUCUUUCUUUUUUUAUAUCUACCAGGUAUGGAUUUCGGGAGGUCAAAUGAGCAGAGGCUGCUGCUGGCCAGGAGCAAGAUGCCCUUCACACCUUCGCAGUGGAUGGAGCUGGAGCACCAGGCCCUCAUAUACAAGUACCUCAACGCGAAGGCCCCCAUACCCUCCGGCCUGCUCAUCUCCAUCAGCAAGAGCUUCAGACCCUCCUCCGAUAGAAGUAAGCAUCCUGCCAAAAAAACAUGUACCCACAUCUCAUUUAUAUUUCACCGAGGUACAAAUGCAACAGAUACGACUGCCUGUAAAUGUGAUGCAGUAAAAGAUCUGUCUUG
rnacentral:lncRNA from 1 species